rnacentral:misc_RNA from 1 species
CGCACAUUGCGCCCCUUGGUAUUCCGAGGGGCAUGCCUGUUCGAGCGUCAUUAUGACCACUCAAGCCUCGCUUGGUAUUGGGGUUCGCGCGCUCGCGGCCCCUAAAAUCAGUGGCGGUGCCGUCUGGCUCUAAGCGUAGUAAUUCUCUCGCUACAGGGUCUAGCCGGUUACUUGCCAAAACCCCAACUUUCUUAGGUUGACCUCGGAUCAGGUAGGGAUACCCGCUGAACUUAA